AAACAUUAGUGAUAGGAAUGAUUGUCUAGGGCUGAUGUGUCACGUGACCAUCACUAUGGCAACAAGAAACGCGGUGAUGGAAGCCGCGGGAAGGAAACGUCAGCUGACUGCCCAACGUGUGUCUUGCCUCCUGUGUCCUUACGACAUGUGUGCAUCGAGAAAAUAACCAGGAAUCUGUAUGCUUAUGACCCUUUAAAAGAGUGUGGCGUGCUAGUAAUGGGCCGUGUCCUGGGUCUGUGUGAGGUUCACCAAAAGUGUGGGGCAGCUGAUUUUUAUCUUUGCAUAUCUCUAGUGAUCACUACAUAUAGCAGAAGUGUUUCAGCGAUGGUGUGAUAAAGAGACGUCACUCGUGCCCUAGAACAGAGGCUUUCAAGACAGAAGUCUGCUUGGGUAAGGCAUAUCCGCAUCUACAGCUACAGGCUACAGUCCUCUGCUGUGUUACCUCUAAUCACCGACACUCAUCAUCACCCGUCAUCAAUCAUAGUACUAUCCACCUUCACCUUCUCUGCCCAUCACCUGACUUCACUGUCCAUCACUACUGGCCACCCAUUACCAUGCUGACGCGAAGGGAGGUGGUGGUAGAGAAACCGUUCCAGGAUCGCCGCUACAAGGACCACAGACGAAAGGUGAUGAGCGCCCUACCCCGCAUCGACACAGGCCCGCCAGUUGAGUACCCGCACUUAGUAGUAAAAUUGAAGAAAUUAAGAUUAGAGAAAGACCGACAGGGUAAAAUUUGCGAGGACAACCUUAAACUAGCGCAUCGAAUGGCCAUCAUAAUGAGGACCAAGCGUCUAGAUAACAUCAACAUGGCACCCAAAGGGCCUUUUGAGCGAAGAAGCAAAUCUAUGGGUAUCCGCGACCGUCGCAGGGAGGACGAGCCCAGCUGGAGCGAGGGCGGGUCCCUGCUUCAACAAGUGACCACGGAAGCUGAGAGGUGCAUCAGACCGCCGCCGCCGGGUAGGAUGGUUCAGCACCGCGCCCCCGCUGGUGUGUGUCGUGUGCCGCGCGUGGGCCCGCCUCCACCAGCACCACCUCUGCCGCGCCGCCAUCUCGUGCCCACCAUCACGCUGCCCCUCUCUUCUCCCAGGUCUCGCCGCAGCCCCUCUCCCAACUCUGUGUCGGGAAGGUCCUCGUCACGCCGCCGCGGCCGCGAAACCACCCGUCUCACACCUUUGUCGACGAGCGUCAGCCGCCGGCCCAGCGUCAGCACUUUGCCUUCCCAACGAGAUGAGAAUUCCAGCUCUGCGGGGGACGGUGGAGACUUCGAAGAAUACUGUAGCGACGAUGUGGAGAAAUCUGACGCUAGCAACGAAGAAGAUGGAAAACGAGAAAAGUUGGAGGAUGAGGAGGAAUUAAAGGAAAAGGAGAAGACAGGAGUGGAAGAGGAAGUCACCGAUUCUGACGACCACGUGUCCUCCGUGCUUCUGAGUCACCAUCCAAAUAUCACGAUCGACGAGGCAAGCGACGACGAGUUUUACUCAUAAAAAGUCUCGGAGGUUUCAGCAGCCACGUAACACAGCGUCCUCAGUAACAACACCGUGAAGUUGAAGCACUAGUGUUUUCAGAUCACUGCCUUAUUUUGAAUAUCCCGCUCUAGGGAUGUAUAGCUGCCAGACAGCACUACCUAAUAUAUGGAAGAACAAUAUCUAUUGAUUUAUAGUUACUGAAUUCUGGUCUUUAUUUUCACCUCCUUGUGUGUGUUCUCGUGAAUUGUGUAUUGUUUUUGUUCUCUUGUUACGAUGCGCUUCAUAUGGGUCAAAAUUGUUCCUUCUGUUGUGAGUGGAAGGUGCACCUCAGUCAGCAGCGGGAAGUACGGGGCAUCAUUCAGCAGCGGCUCACUUUUCUCACAAAACCCUGACUGCAGGUAAUGAAGUUGUCAACUAGCUUCCCUCAGAACACUACAUAAUCUCAUGUCAAGUGAAGGACUGGCUGUUCUACUUGGGAUUUCCAUUCAAGAAACAUUUUCAGAAUGUUUCCCAUGUUUCUAUCAACUGAGUUUAAGUAUUUGAAGCAAAUCCAGACAUCACAGAAAGGUUGGAAGACUCCCUAAGCAAAAGUAGAUAUGCUGCCAAUGGACAAGGACAAUGGACAACUUGAAGUCCUUUGAGUCAGCUUGUGUUGGUGUGUGGUGCGUGGCAGCAAGUAUGGUUCAACUCUGACCAAGUCCAGUUGUAAGGAGCACUGUGAACACUCUGGAUGGUGAAGCAGUCCUGUUUUCGAGUUGUCACUGGUAUUCCAUGGUGUUUCCACUUGACAUAAAUCACUAGUUUGUGUGGGCAUUAUGAGACCUAUUGUUGGCCAUGGAGAAAUCCUUGGCAUCCUACUUUUGGUGAGCCAGGGUGUGGGUAAUUGUUGUGUGAGGUGAUAGCCAGUGUGAAAAUUGUUGAGUCUGGUUUUGGGACAAUGAAAUGUCUCAGUUUAACUAGUCAUUGACCUCUGCUUGUUGCUAAUAUAAUUGCAACAUACAUAUAUCCCUAAACAAACAACAUAAGAAAAUGAGGAGACUUAAAAAUACUAGUUGACCUACACAAGGUAGCCACCAGUUGCUAUUACCAUGAUGUCUGUCCCAGUUGACCAUUUUUGAGGUGAUGGUUGCUGUUAUAUAGAACCUUCACUUCACAGUCACCUUAAAGAAUUUCUUGGGAACAUGUCAGGUAUUGAUGAAUACAUAGAGAGGAUUACUGGAUGGGUGAUGGGCUGCAAGAUCAGAGAAAAGCACAUGACCAUAUUUGAAAAGAAAAAAUAAAAACAGAUUAAAAACUAAUUUGUUACAUGAUAAUACUACUCAUUGAUGACAGUAAGGUGAAGGAACAAACAAUUAUGAAUAACAGUAAAUGUAAUUGUAAUAAGUAAACUUGCAAUGUAUGAUUUCCUGUCAUUCAUAUUUUU